UGGGGAAUUUUCCGCAAUGGGCGAAAGCCUGACGGAGCAAUACCGCGUGAGGGAGGAAGGCUCUUGGGUUGUAAACCUCUUUUCUCAGGGAAGAAAAAAAUGACGGUACCUGAGGAAUAAGCAUCGGCUAACUCCGUGCCAGCAGCCGCGGUAAUACGGAGGAUGCAAGCGUUAUCCGGAAUGAUUGGGCGUAAAGCGUCCGCAGGUGGCUAUGUAAGUCUGCUGUUAAAGAAUGAGGCUCAACCUCAUCAAAGCAGUGGAAACUACAAGGCUAGAGUGCGUUCGGGGGUAGAGGGAAUUCCUGGUGUAGCGGUGAAAUGCGUAGAUAUCAGGAAGAACACCGGUGGCGAAAGCGCUCUACUAGGCCGCAACUGACACUGAGGGACGAAAGCUAGGGGAGCGAAUGGGAUUAGAUACCCCAGUAGUCCUAGCCGUAAACGAUGGAUACUAGGCGUGGCUUGUAUCGACCCGAGCCGUGCCGGAGCUAACGCGUUAAGUAU
rnacentral:rRNA from 1 species